rnacentral:lncRNA from 1 species
CGGGACGGGACAUUGGCCAGCAGAAGCGGGACGUGGACAAAAGGCGGGACUGGGCAGGGAGCUGUCCCUUCGACCCACCUCCGACCCCCGGAGUUGCCACCUGGGAACUACUAGUCCCAAAGUGCACCGCUUCCUUCGCCUGGCCUACAGCCCCAUGCGCAGGCGCCUUGCUAAAUUUCUGUUUGGUGGCGCGCUGCGUCCUGGGACUUGUAGUCCUGUCCUGUAAAGGCCACGCAGGUUCCAGGCGUUCUGAGUUCCGCUGGCCCUUCGGCCAGUCCUCAUAGGUGGGCUUCACAGUCCCUGGGAGUCGUCAGUUAUUUGCCCUUCUCUUCCUGAAAAUGUUUCUCUGAGAGCUGACAGAAUGACACUUGGUCCCCAGUCUCUUUGCAGAUUAAUCUCCUUGUGAAAUCAGCACUCUACUUCGAGAUACAGGAUUGCACUUCAGACUUGCCACCGCCCUUUUAAAGUUCAUCAUGCUUUUCUUUGCAUCAGACAGGGUUUCUCGGUGGCUUUGGAGGAUGCCCUGGAACUAGCUCUUGAGACCAUCUCAAACUCAUAGAGAUCUGCCUGCUUCUGCCUCCCGAGUACUGGGACUAAAGGCAUGCGCCACUAAUGCCCAUCACUGCUGUUUUCUGCCUGAGUCAGAAACUUUUCUUCCCCACUUAAUAAAGGAUCUCUCUGUGAAGAAAAACAAAAAGACUAUGUCUCUCUAUAUAAAGUUUUAUAACUAUUCACUUAUUUUGCGCGUAGGAGGCAUUGAGCACUCUCUACCUACAAUCUUGCUGUAGGAAUGCUGUGAUUACAGAUGGCACCACCACAG